AUGUCACGCCUUCAGGUCCGCUCUUUCUCCAGCCCCGUUUCCUCACGCGCCAACGAUCUGCUGACCGAACUCCACGGCCAUCUGGGCUUCGGGACGCUCAGGCCAGAGCUCGCGCACCAACUGUUCGACGAAAUGCUGCGCCAACCUGUCCCAGUAUCAGCGCGUGCACUCAACGGCUUAUUUGCUGCCCUCGCAUGUGCGCCGCCCUCCGCCGCCUGCACCGACGGCCCUGUCCUCGCCAUCCAUCUUUUCAACCGCAUGGCCCGAGCAGGCUGCCGCAGGGUGAUAGCACUCACCAGUCACACCUACAGCAUACUAAUUGAAUGUUGCUGCCGCACGCGCCGUCCGGACCUAGGGCCUUCCUUCUUCACUCACCUUCUCAAGACAGGCGUGACGGCAGACAUCGUAAUCUAUAGUGGCUUAUUCAAGUGCCUCUGCGACUUGAAGUGCACAGAGGAGGCUUUGGAUAUGCUGCUCCACAGAAUGCCGAACGACGUAAGUGAUGCCAUCUCCUACUCAGUAAUUCUCAAGAGUCUUUGCGACAACGGGAGGAGCCAGCUUGCGCUUGACGUGCUCCAUAUAAUGACCAAAAAAGGUGCUGACUACUCCCCGGAUGUGUUUGCAUACAACAUGGUAAUCGAUGGCUUCUUUAAGGAAGGUGAAGUAAGCAAAGCAUGCGAUCUGUUCCAUGAAAUGAUACAACAGGGGGUUGUGCCCGAUGUGGCGAUGUAUACCUCCAUUAUCAAUGCGCUAUGCAAAGCAAGAGCAAUGGACAAGGCAGAGGUGGUUCUUCGAUCAAUGGUUCAUAAUGGUGUCCAACCAGAUGUUGUGACAUAUACUAUCAUGAUCCAAGGAUAUUCAACUUUGAGACAGUUGAAAGAAGUCGCUAGGUUGUUGAAAGUGAUGAGAAGCCAAGGUGUUAUGCCAAGCGUUGUUACCUACAACUCACUCAUGACCUGCCUUUGCAAGAAUGGAAGAUUCAAGGAAGCUGUAGAAAUUUUUUAUUCAAUGGCUGUGAAGGGCCUAAAACCUAAUGUCAUCUCAUACUCUAUAAUACUCCAUGGAUACGCUAAAGAAGGAUCCCUUGUUGCCAUGAUUGAUCUCUAUCAGUUGAUGGCAGCAGAAGGGGUCAUACCUGACCUCCAUUGUUUCAACAUACUAAUUGCUGCAUAUGCUGAAUAUGGAAUGAUGGAUGUGGCUAUGCUUUUCUUCGAAGACAUGUUGAAGCAGGGGGUGAACCCUAAUGAAGUCACAAUUUUUGUCUGUGAUAGCUGGAUUAUGCAAAAUGGGCAGGAUGGAUGA
rnacentral:rRNA from 1 species